rnacentral:snoRNA from 21 species
UGGGCUUGACAGCCGCGUCUGCGGUUGUAUGACAAGCCCGCCCGCGGCCGAGUGUACA